AUGGAUUGAUAGGAUAUUUGUAAAUAUAUAGAAACAAAACAUGUAGACAGAUUUGUAAAAAUUUUGAUCGGUAGUAGCCAAGGAGUGCAGUAGUUGAGCAGUAGGUCCCCAGGAAGAAGGCCUAUUCACUAUCACAUUAUGAAUAACUAUUUGUCAAAGUCAAAGGAUCAAAGUAGUGUCCGCCACUCUCUGCAAACAACCAUGCCCUGAACGUAAAGCUCCUUUGCAAACUCUGGAGAAGGCGGGCUUGCUCUUCGGUGUCGGAGGCUUGGUGUGUGAAGGAGGCAGUGGCCACCCCUUCCCCUCCAGUCAUGCAAGUCUGGAGAAGGCGGCCUUGCUCUUCGGUGUCGGCGGCGGACAACUUCGUCAAGGCCGUCGUGCUUGUCGUUGUUGUGGAGCAGCCAGUGGCCGUUAUCCGCGUGAGCAAGAAAAGUUGCCCUUUGACGCAGAUCCGCUCUUGGGAGGAAUCGAACCAGGGGCAGCUGCACAGAGAGGAGAAUAAAAUAAAUCUUAGGAGCAAUGUGAUUCAAC
rnacentral:lncRNA from 1 species